rnacentral:lncRNA from 1 species
AUAUAUAUUGGUGACUGAAAAAUCAUGAUCAAUGUAUAUUUUAUUUCAGGGGGAGAUACAAUCCAGUUCAUCAGAAGACAGUGAAUGCCAAGAAAGGACCAGUAAAAAAGAUUAUAAAAUCAAACCACCUUCCAAAACUCAAUCCAUAAUUCCGGAACUGGAUUUCUAUUUCUUCCUUCUUUUUUUCCAUCUGUACUAUUCAACUGGUGAAGUUAAUGUUCUAUACGUUUUUCAGGAAUGAAUAGAUAAGAAAGAGCUUCCAAACUUCUCUUUAGCUCUUCUUCCAGAAGUUUAUUCCUUUGUCUGCAUGAAUGCAUUUUUCUCUAGUAACCCUGAAAUAUCUAAUAGAAAUACUUGUGAUUUUUAAAAUAUCUUAGAAAACCUCAAGUUUGGCAUCAUUAUACUCACUUUUUAAUUUUUUUUAGUUGUUGAUGUACCUUCUAUAUAUAUGCAGUGCUAAGAAUCAAACUCAGUGCCUUAUGCAUGCUAGGCAAGUACUCCACCACUGAGCCACAACCUCAGCCCUAUACUCACUUUGAAUAAUAUAUUCACGAGCUAUCCUACAGUAACAUUGCUAUUAUAUUUGGUUUCUAGUUGUCUGUUAGCUAAAAAUAUGAGUUUAUAAAAAGAUUUUGCUGUUUUAGGCUAUGUCAUGCUUAGCUUUUAAUUCACAGUUUAAACAAAAUUUCAAAUCAAAUGCAUGUUAGAUUUUGACUGAUAUAUUAUGGUGUUAUGAGAACAGUCUUCAAUCAUGAAUCAGCUUGUUUAUAGUCCCCAUUCUGCCACGAAGUAGAUGAUCUUGGAUGGACAAGUCCCUUUAUCUCAUCUUUAAUUUCCUACUCCUCUAAAAUGACUAAGGCAAUAUAAUUUUCUAAGGUUUCUUAUCAUUUCUUGAAAGUAAAUAUUUAAUCAUUAGAUUCUGCCACUAAACAUGUAGUGAUUUAAGUCACUUUGUGAUAUUUAUUAAUUCAUAAUAAUGGUCUAGUUCUUUGGACCAAAGAGGUAAGUGUAGUUUUCAGCUAAUGGUCUCACCUAUAUCUAGCACUAAACCUAAAUUCUAUUCAGUAUCACCGGUAAUGAAUACCAAAGGUAUUUCUACAACCAUCUCUAUAGAUGUUUAUUUUCUUUAAGGAAGAAUACACAAAUUUCAUAUAGCCAAAUAAUUUUUAUGUGACUCUAAAAUGUAAUGCAGAGAAAUAAAGUAACUUUCUGUAAGUUGUUCUGCUUUGGAACUUUUUAGAAAUAUUGUCCCCUGAUUUUAAGUAAACUACAGGUAUUAGAUACUAUGACCCUUAUUAUUACACAAAUGCUAGAUUUUUAUGUCUUUUAGUAUGUUUCCUGGCCUUAGUAGAAAAUUGAUUAUUUAAAUAAUGUAACAAGUAUAAUUAUCAAUGAAAAAUAAACAAAUUUGUUUCUUUUAUACACAAGUAAGCCAUUUGGUGGCCAAAUGGAGGAACAUUUGACAUGGAGGAACAUUCGAAGUUAUCUCAAGCACUGGGACAGUAUUAGUUAAACAUCUUAUCAUGGGGAUUUCUCUCAUUCAGAUGUUAGUUCUACAGGAGCUGUUUUGGGAUACUUUCUGCAUGUUAGAAAAUGUCUAAAACGAAGUGAUGGUAUGUUGGUAGGAAUAGUACAAAGAAGUUGGAAAUGGGGGACUCUAGUCUGUAUUAUAAUACCUGUUUGCCUUUCUAAUUUUCUAACUUGAAUAAAUCACUUUUUAUGUUCCCAUUUAAAAAGCUGGGAAUGUUUACACUCACAACUGCAUAGGGAUUUCUGUGAAGAUAAAAAAGUACCUUCUAUUUGUUUAUUUCUUCAUAACCCUUUUGUCUCUGAGAAGAAUAUGAGUUAACUUUUACUAAAUAUAAAGGUGUAAAAACAUUCACAACAUAAAAGAUAAAAAUAAAAGGUGAAGCUUUGCAAGAAACCCCAUCUAAUUGAAGCUUUACCUUUAAGCCUCCUAGCUGCCAGUACAAAGAAGAAAAGAGUUAUAUGGUUAUCAUUUUUUACAGAAGUAAUAUGCAAGUAGAAAAAGGUUUUGUGUAAUUAAGUUCUGAAGGUAAUUUGUCAUGUAAGGGUUUUUAAGAAAAUGUGAUCUUUAUAAUAAUCAAAGAAAGAUAAUUGUUUGAUAUCUUUUAUUUUGUUUGAUAGUCAAAUAUGUAUUGACAUGAAUAUAUCAUUUUUUUAAUUGGAAAGUUUAGAAUUCAUAAAAAAACAGUAAA